AAUGGCUCACCAAGGCGACGACGGGUAGCCGGCCUGAGAGGGUGACCGGCCACACUGGGACUGAGACACGGCCCAGACUCCUACGGGAGGCAGCAGUGGGGAAUAUUGCACAAUGGCCCAAAGCCUGAUGCAGCGACGCCGCGUGAGGGAUGACGGCCUUCGGGUUGUAAACCUCUUUCAGUAGGGAAGAAGCGAAAGUGACGGUACCUGCAGAAGAAGCGCCGGCUAACUACGUGCCAGCAGCCGCGGUAAUACGUAGGGCGCAAGCGUUAUCCGGAAUUAUUGGGCGUAAAGAGCUCGUAGGCGGUUUGUCGCGUCUGCCGUGAAAGUCCGGGGCUCAACUCCGGAUCUGCGGUGGGUACGGGCAGACUAGAGUGAUGUAGGGGAGACUGGAAUUCCUGGUGUAGCGGUGAAAUGCGCAGAUAUCAGGAGGAACACCGAUGGCGAAGGCAGGUCUCUGGGCAUUAACUGACGCUGAGGAGCGAAAGCAUGGGGAGCGAACAGGAUUAGAUACCCUGGUAGUCCAUGCCGUAAACGUUGGGCACUAGGUGUGGGGGACAUUCCACGUUUUCCGCGCCGUAGCUAACGCAUUAAGUGCCCCGCCUGGGGAGUACGGCCGCAAGGCUAAAACUCAAAGGAAUUGACGGGGGCCCGCACAAGCGGCGGAGCAUGCGGAUUAAUUCGAUGCAACGCGAAGAACCUUACCAAGGCUUGACAUGAACCGGAAACACCUGGAAACAGGUGCCCCGCUUGCGGUCGGUGUGACAGGUGGGUGCAUGGUUGUCGUCAGCUCGUGUCGUGAGAUGUUGGGUUAAGUCCCGCAACGAGCGCAACCCUCGUUCUAUGUUGCCAGCGCGUGAUGGCGGGGACUCAUAGGAGACUGCCGGGGUCAACUCGGAGGAAGGUGGGGACGACGUCAAAUCAUCAUGCCCCUGAUGUCUUGGGCUUCACGCAUGCUACAAUGGCCGGUACAAAGGGUUGCGAUACUGUGAGGUGGAGCUAAUCCCAAAAAGCCGGUCUCAGUUCGGAUUGGGGUCUGCAACUCGACCCCA
rnacentral:rRNA from 1 species